CGCUUGGACCUUGGACGCUACUGCGUCCAAGGGGCUCAACGUCCUUUCCGACGAUGAGCACAGCGCGAUACGCAAAGAAACGGUGCUCCGUGGAAGUGUGUGAAAGCGACACCCGCACGGCUGGCGUCUCGCUGCACCGGUUUCCCCUCGACUCUCGAAGGCGCGAAGUCUGGGUUCGGUUUUGCAACAACCGAAGUCUACAGGGGAAGACUCCAUGGCAGCUACGAGACAGGGUAGUUUGCUCAUUACAUUUCGAGGAGUCGGCUUUCUUGCGGCCUGGACACCUCCGUCACAAUGCGUUGCCAAGUGUUCUUCCCACAAAAGAGACGACGCGUGGGGACAUUUCCAGCAAAAGCUCUCCU